AGCCGGACUGCUCUGCUUUUCGGGGGACUCUAGGGAAGAGGGGUGCAGAGGAGGCUGGUAUGCCCAUGCGAUUCUUCCACAGGAGGGAGACGAUGGUAUGACGACGCUUUUUUCUUUCUUCCCCACAUUUCUUCAUCCUUCUUUUCUCCACCCGAUGCAGAGAUCCCAGGACCAAGGCAGCAGCUCCACACGUCCGAAGUAGGGAUGAUUCCUAAGCAAGAAAAUGGUAGGAAUGGCCCAGCCAAAGCGCACCUGUGUGGCACCUGUGCGUGGGAGAGGACUGCGGGGAGGCACUUGCUGCACUAACGUUGCUCUGCAACCUGGCCCAGCACCACAGCUGAACGUAGUGUCCUUUCCAAAGGUUGAAAAGUUUGGAUAGAAAUGGAGAGAAGGAGAAACAGUAGCCGCAGGGUGAAUGUACAUAUUGCUGAAAUCACUCCUGCCCUGGAACCUGACAAGAUCAAACGGAAGCCUGCAAACCUGAGUGGCCUCGCCAGGAAACCUUUUGGC